AGACGGAGGGUGCAAGCGUUAAUCGGAAUUACUGGGCGUAAAGCGCUCGUAGGCGGUUUGUUAAGUCGGAUGUGAAAGCCCCGGGCUCAACCUGGGAACUGCAUUCGAUACUGGCAAACUAGAGUAUAGUAGAGGCAAGUGGAAUUCCGGGUGUAGCGGUGAAAUGCGUAGAUAUCCGGAGGAACAUCAGUGGCGAAGGCGACUUGCUGGACUAAUACUGACGCUGAGGAGCGAAAGCGUGGGGAGCAAACGGGAUUAGAAACCCGAGUAGUCC
rnacentral:rRNA from 1 species